rnacentral:rRNA from 1 species
UACGGAGGGCGCAAGCGUUAUCCGGAUUCACUGGGUGUAAAGGGAGCGUAGACGGCGACGCAAGUCUGGAGUGAAAGCCCGGGGCCCAACCCCGGGACUGCUCUGGAAACUGCGGCGCUGGAGUACGGGAGGGGCAGGCGGAAUUCCUGGUGUAGCGGUGAAAUGCGUAGAUAUCAGGAGGAACACCGGCGGCGAAGGCGGCCUGCUGGACCGUGACUGACGUUGAGGCUCGAGAGCGUGGGGAGCAAACAGG